AUGGGGUGCAGCAGGCGCGAAACCUCUGCAAUAGGCGAAAGCCUGACAGGGUUACUCUGAGUGAUUCCCGCUAAGGGGAUCUUUUGGCACCUCUAAAAAUGGUGCAGAAUAAGGGGUGGGCAAGUCUGGUGUCAGCCGCCGCGGUAAUACCAGCACCCCGAGUGGUCGGGACGAUUAUUGGGCCUAAAGCAUCCGUAGCCGGUCAUGCAAGUCCUCCGUUAAAUCCACCUGCUUAACAGAUGGGCUGCGGAGGAUACUACAAGGCUAGGAGGCGGAAGAGGCAAGCGGUACUCAGUGGGUAGGGGUAAAAUCCUCUGAUCCAUUGAAGACCACCAGUGGCGAAGGCGGCUUGCCAAUACGCGCUCGACGGUGAGGGAUGAAAGCUGGGGGAGCAAACCGGAUUAGAUACCCGGGUAGUCCCAGCUGUAAACGAUGCAGACUCGGUGAUGGGCCGGCUUUAUGCCGGCUCAGUGCCGCAGGGAAGCCGUUAAGUCUGCCGCCUGGGGAGUACGGUCGCAAGACUGAAACUUAAAGGAAUUGGCGGGGGAGCAC
rnacentral:rRNA from 1 species